GGAUGUAAGGUGAUGUGGCUCUGUCACUCCUUUGUCUGUCUGUCACUCCGUUGUUGUGAGGGUUGACCUGCUGAACUGGCUGGCAAGGGAAGCAGCCUCCCCUUCCCUCACAGCUCCAUGUCCACCACAACAGAGUUGAGCAACACGGGACUGUUCUCCUGGGAAGAGAUAAAGUAGGUAGGUAGUUCCUUGCCUAGAACCCCCAGCACAUACUCACAGUGCAGGUUUGCUUUGCUGGGGAGGUUUAGCCAGGUGAAUUAUUGUUGCCUCAUUUUCUAUUUUGUUUUGAGAUAGGGUCUCUCUAUGUAG
rnacentral:sRNA from 1 species